UUCGAUGCAACGCGAAGAACCUUACCUGGUCUUGACAUCCCGGAGACCCUUAGGAAACUAGGGGUGCUUCCAUCUGGAAGAAUCUGGAGACAGGUGCUGCAUGGCUGUCGUCAGCUCGUGUCGUGAGAUGUUGGGUUAAGUCCCGCAACGAGCGCAACCCUUGCCUUUAGUUGCCAGCAGUUCGGCUGGGCACUCUAAAGGGACUGCCGGUGUUAAACCGGAGGAAGAUGGGGAUGACGUCAAGUCCUCAUGGCCUUUAUGACCAGGGCUACACACGUACUACAAUGGCCGAUACAAAGGGCAGCGACACUGCGAGGUGAAGCCAAUCCCGUAAAAUCGGUCUCAGUCCGGAUUGGAGUCUGCAACUCGACUCCAUGAAGUUGGAAUCGCUAGUAAUCGUGGAUCAGCAUGCCACGGUGAAUACGUUCCCGGGCCUU
rnacentral:rRNA from 1 species